AACGAACGCUGGCGGCAUGCCUAACACAUGCAAGUCGAACGAGACCUUCGGGUCUAGUGGCGCACGGGUGCGUAACGCGUGGGAACCUGCCCGUAGGUUCGGAAUAAUUCAGAGAAAUUUGAGCUAAUACCGGAUAACGUCCUCGGACAAAAGAUUUAACGCCCUUGGAUGGGCCCGCGAAGGUUUAGCUUGGUGGGGGGGUAAUGGCCUACCAAGGCGACGAUCCUUAGCUGGUCUGAGAGGAUGGUCAGCCACACUGGGACUGAGACACGGCCCAGACUCCUACGGGAGGCAGCAGUGGGGAAUAUUGGACAAUCGGCGAAAGCCUGAUCCAGCAAUGCCGCGUGAGUGAUGAAGGCCUUAGGGUUGUAAAGCUCUUUUACCAGGGAUGAUAAUGACAGUACCUGGAGAAUAAGCUCCGGCUAACUCCGUG
rnacentral:rRNA from 1 species